rnacentral:rRNA from 1 species
CCUACGGGGUGCAGCAGUGGGGAAUAUUGCACAAUGGGCGAAAGCCUGAUGCAGCGACGCCGCGUGCAGGAAGAAGUCUUUCUGUAUGUAAACUUCUAUCAGCAGGGAAGAAAAUGACGGUACCUGACUACGAAGCCCCGGAUAACUCCGUGCCAGCAGCCGCGGUACUACGUAGGGGGCAAGCGUUAUCCGGAUUUACUGGGUGUAAAGGGAGCGUAGGCGGUUUAGCAAGUCAGAGGUGAAAGCCCGGGGCUCAACCCCGGGACUGCUUUUGAAACUGUUGAACUAGAUUGCAGGAGAGGUAAGUGGAAUGCCUAGUGUAGCGGUGAAAUGCGUAGAGAUCAGGAGGAACACCAGUGGCGAAGGCGGCUUACUGGACUGUAAAUGACGCUGAGGCUCGAAAGCGUGGGGAGCAAACAGGAUUAGAUACCCCUGUAGUC